GCCGCGCCGGCCGGCCCCAGUCCUCCCGGCGACCGCCAGGCCCACCCCGGCCUUGGCCCUCUGCCGAGGCCCAAAACCAACCCGGGGACGGGUUCUGUGUCAACAGAGGGGCUGUUUUUAGGUACAGCAAUGAGUGGUUCUCAACGAUGGCAAGUCCUAAUGGCCCAAGACAGACUGGCUACUCGAGCUGCCGGGGGCGCGGGCCUACUUAGCACCACCUUUGGAAACUCGAGCAUCUCUGUGGCGAGAUGCCCCCAACCUGCGCGGCUUAAAGCCGAACCACGCUGGUGCGAGGGGCUCUGGCAAACCAUGUGUCGCAAAAAUGCUGGCGAAUAACGCAAAUUCCUCUGCAGUUACCAAUACUGGUCUCACUUAUGUUCACUGAGUUGACAGUGAUUAAGGCUAACUCAGUGGGUGUAUAAAGAAUGAAUAAUCAGAGAGCUAGAGCCCACAUGACAACCUCACAGGAAAUUCAGCUUCCACGAAGACCCAUCAGAGAGGCAGGGCCCUCAUCCCUGCUUGGCCUUAUUUUCUUCAACUGGAAACUUUUUUCCCUUGUUUGAUCCAGCUUUUGAUGGUUUUGAAACUGAUUUGCAAGAUACAAAAAGCACUGUUAUACGCAAAUAAAGAAGAACUUCAAGCUUCUUCGAAUGAAAAAAGGCCCAAGAAAGCUUCCCCUUAAGCAACCUUAAACCCACAAGGCAUUAACUUAAACAAGCAAAUAAAUGAAAAAGACUGUGAACUAACUUGUUUGCUCCUUUGCAUUCAGUUUGAGAAAGAAACAGAUGUUUAAUAAGUGCCUGAAAUGUUCCAGGCACAAGAGUCACAACAAUCCCAUGAAGUUUGUGUAGUUUAAUUCCAUUUCAUAGGUAAGGAAACUUGAUGAAGCCGGGAGAUGGUUCUGUCCAAAUCCACACAGCCUGGAAGUAGUAUGGUCCAAAGCCCCUGACCUUUCUAAACCGGCACAUAAUUUUCAAUUUAAGUGAAAGGAUAAUAUGAGCAAAGCUAGAGGAUGAAAUAAAAAUAAUUAACUGUUAGAAUGUUUUAAAAGAAAACAAUUCAGAGAAUUACAACUAUUUAACAGGCGCCCUC